CCUACGGGGGUAGCAGUGAGGAAGAGUGGUCAAGGGGCGGAAGCCGGAACCAGUCAAGUCGCGUGAGGGAAUAAGGCCCUACGGGUCGUAAACCUCUUUUGCCGGGGAGCAAGGGCCGGGACGCGUCCCGGCCCGGAGAGUACCCGGAGAAAAAGCAUCGGCUAACUCCGUGCCAGCAGCCGCGGUAAUACGGAGGAUGCGAGCGUUAUCCGGAUUUAUUGGGUUUAAAGGGUGCGUAGGCGGGCUGUUAAGUCAGCGGUAAAAAUUCGGGGCUCAACCCCGUCCGGCCGUUGAAACUGGGGGCCUUGAGUGGGCGAGAAGAAGGCGGAAUGCGUGGUGUAGCGGUGAAAUGCAUAGAUAUCACGCAGAACUCCGAUUGCGAAGGCAGCAUACCGGCGCUCAACUGACGCUCAUGCACGAAAGUGUGGGUAUCGAACAGGAUUAGAUACCCUAGUAGUC
rnacentral:rRNA from 1 species